UCUCUCUCUCACACACACACACCCACCCACCCACCCAAACACACAAACCUGCAGAUCCCAGAGUCUGCAAUUAUUACUUUCCGAUUAGAAUUCAAAAACUUUCGUUUUCGAUUCCCGAGAAAGUCCAAAUUCGCGACUUUCUAGGCCACUCUUCUUGACCAAUACAUUCACUACAAAUUCAAUCCGGAGACUCUGUGGUUUUUCGCAGAGUGAUGUGCAAUGGAGUCCCAAGGACACCAAAUCUCUCCGUCUUCUUCCACUCAUGCUCUUCAUUCUCAAGCUCACGUUGAUUCGUUUAUUUCAGAACUCCAUGAGAAGCAUCAGCAGGAGCUAGAGAAUCUGUCAUUGACAGCACAGCCCUUGAAGACGAUAAAAUUGUUCACUUUGGCUGUUAUUCAAUAUCUUCAGCAACCACUAUUUUGUAUCUUUGAGAAGCGUGGUUGGCUUAUGCUUCUAAGUGUUCUCUCUGGGGGUAUUGGAAUACUGAUGACUAUAGUCAGUGGGCCUCACAAAGAGCAUUUUCAGGAGCUUCUUUAUUAUCUUCAAUUUGGACUAUGGUGGUUAGCCCUUGGUGUAGCAUCAUCAAUUGGUUUGGGUUACUUGAUGCUGCUCUGAGUAUAUAUGCUCAAUUAAGCGCUCCACACCGAGGAAUGGCCUUUCUUUCCAUGAGAAAUUAAGUUUUUCUCUUAUAAGUGAUUAUUGGAUCUAUAUCACGGUGUUGUUAUUCAUGCAAUGUAGCUUCACUUGAAGAUCAUUUUAUUUAUGCCCAAAAAUUGCUGGAAAGCAGGAUUUUAAAAGCUAGAAUGGCUUCACGCCAAAGUGAUUCAAGCAAAAUUUGGAUAGCACAUGGCAUGACCAAACAGAAGAUUGUGAAUUGACUUUCUGCUAAAGUUCUGUCACAUUCUACGGCAGGGCCAACACACACCCUCUUUAGGGAUCAGUUUGAAGAGAGUUCUGUCACAUUCCCAUGGCAGGGCCAACACAUAUUCUCUUUAGGGAUCAGUUUGAAGGUUCUGGUUUGCACACCUUUGUGUUGUAUUUGGGCCCACACAUUGCCCUAUUUACAAUGAAAUCUGUGCAUUGUGGCCGCGUCGAUAUAAAAAGUGCUCCGUACGAUACAAUUCAGUUGAAAAGUGGUCCUUCAUGGCUG